rnacentral:lncRNA from 1 species
AAAUGCUUCCUGUCCCUGGCAUUUCCUUAAUCAUAUGCAGACAUGGCUGGAUGUUCUUUGCUAGGCUGCUGAGUCAGAAGCCUGGACGGGCCAGCUUCAGUCUUAAUGAACUGGCUCAGGAAGGAAGUGCUAACAGAGAUGGGUGCACUGUGCAGUCAGUAGUGGGAGCUGAUGCCGGCUAGAAGAACUGAGCCUUGUGAGAGGCAGUCUGAUUCCUGGGAAAGAGCAUUGGCUGGAAGUCUGGAGGCCUGGGCUAGUCUCUGCUCUGCCACUAACUUGCUGCAUGACCCUGGUAAAGGUUUACUUCAAUUAAAAGUUUAUCAAGGGACCAGCCCAGUGGUGCAGCGGUUAAGUGCGCACGUUCCGUUUCUCAGCGGCCCAGGGUUUGACAGUUUGGAUCCUGGGUGCGGACAUGGCACCGCUUGGCAUGCCAUGCUGUGGAGCCUUCCUUGAUCUUCUUUCUAUCUCACCCCCUGGCUGGCAUCCAGCUCAGCCCUGGCCCACCAUAGGCACUCAGUGAAUGUUGAUUUGAGCAAAAGACACGAUUGAAAGAAAUGUCUCCUGAAAUUGCUUCUUACAAAUCUAGCCAACAAGUGCAGCAUCCUGGAUGGAGGCACCAGAGAUGACAUCAUCUCUGGCUUUCUGCUGCAGACCCACAUGGAGAAUCCCACAUGGUGCAACCAAAAUCCUCAAGGCCAGAUAGGUCCUUUCAUUGGAAGCCCUAAAAUGCAAUGCCUGGCUUUGAAGAGGGUGUAUGACACAAAUGAUUUACUAUGCAUUGAUCUGACUAAUGGAAAAUAAACAAUAACUUUUAAAUUAUCAUCCUUUGAGUGUGAUGUGUUUAGGUCACAUGUGAUGUGAUUGGUCAAUGUUAAAAAAUAUAUGUGAUUUUUAGCCUUCCAGAUCCCACGGUAAUGUCUGAAAAGAAACUUUUAAAAUUGAAUAAGUAUAGGGUUAUUUGUUGCAGCAUUGUUUGAUACCAUAUGACUGGAAACAACCUAAAUGUUCAUCAAUAGGCGACUAGUUAAAUAAAUUAUAGUAUUUCAUUCAUACAAUGGAAUACUAUGCGUUUGUAACAAAAAAAGAAUAAAGAAGUACUUUGCUGACAUGGAAUAACCUCCAAGAUAUAUUGUUAAAGGAAAAAACAAAGAUGCAGAAUAGCGUCUUUUAUACUACUGUGUGUAAAAAAGGGUGAAAGAGAAUAUCUAUGUAUUUGCUUGAAUACAC